rnacentral:rRNA from 1 species
GACGAACGCUGGCGGCGUGCUUAACACAUGCAAGUCGAACGGAAAGGCCCUGCUUUUGUGGGGUGCUCGAGUGGCGAACGGGUGAGUAACACGUGAGUAACCUGCCCUUGACUUUGGGAUAACUUCAGGAAACUGGGGCUAAUACCGGAUAGGAGCUCCUGCUGCAUGGUGGGGGAUGGAAAGUUUCGGCGGUUGGGGAUGGACUCGAGGCUUAUCAGCUUGUUGGUGGGGUAGUGGCUUACCAAGGCUUUGACGGGUAGCCGGCCUGAGAGGGUGACCGGCCACAUUGGGACUGAGAUACGGCCCAGACUCCUACGGGAGGCAGCAGUGGGGAAUAUUGCACAAUGGGCGGAAGCCUGAUGCAGCAACGCCGCGUGCGGGAUGACGGCCUUCGGGUUGUAAACCGCUUUCGCCUGUGACGAAGCGUGAGUGACGGUAAUGGGUAAAGAAGCACCGGCUAACUACGUG